rnacentral:tRNA from 1 species
GGUCUGUUGGAGAAGUGGUUUUAACUCGUAUGCCUCUCAAGCAUAUAUUCACGGGUUCGAAUCCCGUACAGAUCA